rnacentral:snRNA from 1 species
GUGCUCUCUUUGGUGGCACCCAUACUAAAAUUGGAAUGAUAUAGAGAAGACUAGCAUGGCCCCUGCAUAAUGAUGACUUGCAAAUUUGUGAAGCGUUCUGUAUUUUG